GGGAUAUAUAAAGAGUACAUGCGGGCGCUCAGUUAGUGUCGCGCGUGGUGAGGGACGCCAUGUUCUCUGCACAACUCCCUGGGCCUAUCGGGCUGUGGAUCUCUUGUACAUGUGCAGCUCUCUAAGAUAUGUUCAGCUAAAUGUAAGUUCACAGCAUUAUCAGAUAUGCCAAAGAAAUUGCAAGUCGUCUUCAAAAGCCAUCCCAAGUGUUAUACAAAGAGUCUCUGCUGGAUAAAAAAAGAUGUAAGAGUUAUGGAUGAAAAAUUGGCCUUCUUAAAGGUGUGCCCUAACUUUGACAAUCUCAAUCCACCCUUCCAAAUAAUGCCAGAAUGAAGCCCAAGAAACACUGCUGUGAUCCAUUUGAGCAGUACCAAUUGUAGAUCUAGAAAACCACUCCCUUAGUUUUGGAUUCCAGUUGGAGAAACUGCCUUGUUUGUCACAGCGCCUCGCCUCCCCACCUCAUUGCUUCCUAUGCCAGCACAGGCCAAAAGAUGCGCAUGGGCAUGUGCCCACUGAAGAUGCAAUAGGGGAGGCCACUGUGCCAGAAGAGCAGUUACCAUGCCAGAUUGCACUACCCCUCUGCCUGGUCACAUGGGAGUGAAGCAGCACAGUCAUUGCUUCCUUUCUCUACAAAGGCCAACAGAUGCCAGAAGAGCAGGUGCCAAACUUGAAGAUGCCAUAGGAGUGGCCACUGUACCAGAAGAGCAGGUGCGAUGGUGGAAGAGCACCACCCCCUCUUCCUGAUCCCGUGGGAGUGAUGCCGAGUGUCUUUACUUCUGUUCCCAGAGCAGACCAGAAGAUGCUAUAGGCGUGGUCUCUGUGCCAGAAGACUGACUGAGUCUGAAGAUAGAAUUGCCCACUUUGCCAGAAGAUGUAAUCGUAGUGGCCACUGUGCAUCUCACUAACACUUAUAGUAUAUGUGCCACUUGUGAUACCAUUUGUGUUGUAACCCCCAUCCUUGGGCCCCAAAUGGUGGCUUUGGACUGCGGUACUGGCUUGCAUAAACCAUGCCUGCUUGUCCUUAAAGGGGAAGACUUCUAAAUAAACCUUCAGUAUAUAAAAGAUCGACCUAGGCUUGAUAAAGGGCUCAGAGGUGUCUGAAACAUUGCUUUGUUUGUGAAAUGCUUAUGUACUAAAUAAAUCUCUUUUCAC